UCAGCACCAAAAAUCAGUAAUCAUGCGAUUGCUAAACUAGCAUGGCGACUACGCUUGGGUGCUAAAAGUAAAUUCGCUAUAAUGCCGCAUACUAAACCAGAGCAUGCUAAUCUAGCCCUAGAAUGCUUGUGGCCUUGUUUCGAGACAAAU
ensembl:snoRNA snoRNA:Psi28S-3378 snoRNA:Psi28S-3378